CAUUAAGUAAGUGUAAAAUGACUGCUCCUGCGAAAGAUAAUGUAUGUUAUAUAAUGUUGACCAAAUUAAGUGAUUUUGCAUUAGGAAAGCUGCUGGAGAUGUACAAUAAGAUCUGGGAGAAAGGGAAGCUGCCAAUAAUAUGGAAAGAGUCAGUCAUUAUUCCUAUUAGGAAACCUGGGAAAGAUCCAACCAGUCCAGGCAGUUAUAGACCUAUAGCUCUGACAUCACACUUGUGUAAAGUUAUGGAAAGAAUGAUAACAGAAAGGCUAACAUACUACAUUGAGAAAAAUGAACUAAUGACUCCUUAUCAGAGUGGGUUUAGAAAAGGGCGGAGUACUUUAGAUCCCCUGCUGUGCCUGGAGUCAGUCAGGAAAGCCCAAGCGAACAAGGAGUGUGUUGUAGCUGUAUUCUUUGAUGUGGAAAAAGCUUACGAUAUGAUGUGGAAGGAAGGAUUAUUAAUAAAACUGGACAUUAUGGGUCUGGGAGGUAAUGUAUAUAAUUGGAUUAUGGAUUUUUUGUUUGGCCGUGCCAUCAGAGUCCGAGUUGGCAAGUCAUAUUCUCGAAGGCAUGAAGUUGAAAAUGGAACCCCGCAGGGGAGUGUCAUCAGUCCUCUUUUAUUUUCUAUCAUGAUCAAUGAUAUAUAUACACAAAUAGGAUCUGAUAUUGGUAAGUCACUUUUUGCAGAUGAUGGAGCUAUUUGGAAAAGGGGCAGAAAUGUAAAAUAUAUUGUAGCUAAGAUUCAGGAAGCCAUUAGGGAAAUUGAAAGCUGGUCUCUGACAUGGGGGUUUAGAUUGUCGGUGGAAAAAACUGAAACUUUAUUUUUUACGAGGAAAAGGAUAGGUGAGGAGGUUAGGUUAAAACUUUAUGGACAAGAUCUAAAGAAAGUGAAGACAUUUAAAUUUCUGGGAAUAUGGUUGGACGAGAGAGUCACAUGGAGUACUCACAUUGAUAAAGUAGUAGAUAAAUGUAAAAGGGUUUUAAAUGUUAUGAGGUGCUUGGCAGGCACUAAGUGGGGGGCUGAUAAAGCUGCUUUGAGGAACGUAUACACAGCCUUAAUAAGAUCAGCCAUAGAAUACGGACUAAUAGUGUAUGGGUCAGCUGCAUAUUCUUCUCUUCAAAAAUUAGAUAGAGUCCAGGCACAAGCACUAAGGAUAUGCUGUGGGGCAGUAAGAUCUACACCAGUGUCGGCACUUCAGGUAGAGGUCGGAGAAGUACCUAUUUCUUUGAGGAGAAAGCAGUUAAUUGUUAAUUACUGGGCAAAUCUACAGGGCCAUAAAGAUACUCACCCUACUAAACAAACUGUACAAACAAGUUGGGAAAGUAACAAAAUAAAAAAAGAAAGUUUU